UGCCAGACUCCUACGGGAGGCAGCAGUGGGGAAUAUUGGGCAAUGGGCGCAAGCCUGACCCAGCAACGCCGCGUGAAGGAAGAAGGCUUUCGGGUUGUAAACUUCUUUUAAGAGGGAAGAGUAGAAGACGGUACCUCUUGAAUAAGCCACGGCUAACUACGUGCCAGCAGCCGCGGUAAUACGUAGGUGGCAAGCGUUGUCCGGAUUUACUGGGUGUAAAGGGCGUGUAGCCGGGUUGACAAGUCAGAUGUGAAAUCCUGCGGCUUAACCGCAGAACUGCAUUUGAAACUGUUGAUCUUGAGUACUGGAGAGGCAGACGGAAUUCCUAGUGUAGCGGUGAAAUGCGUAGAUAUUAGGAGGAACACCAGUGGCGAAGGCGGCUUGCUGGACCGUGACUGACGUUGAGGCUCGAGAGCGUGGGGAGCAAACAGGAUUAGAUACCCGUGUA
rnacentral:rRNA from 1 species